CGCCUCUUGCAAAAUGAAAGAAUAAGAGGUCCAGCCUGCCCUGUGACUAUAUGUUUAACGGCCGCGGUAUUUUAACCGUGCGAAGGUAGCGCAAUCACUUGUCUCUUAAAUGGGGACCUGUAUGAAUGGCAUAACGAGGGCUUAACUGUCUCCUUUUUCAGGUCAAUGAAAUUGAUCUCCCCGUGCAGAAGCGGGGAUAAAUCCAUAAGACGAGAAGACCCUAUGGAGCUUUAGACACCAAAGCAUAUCAUGCCAAGCACCCCAAAACAAAGGGUUUUAAGCCAAAUGAAUUUAUGCUCCUAUGUCUUUGGUUGGGGCGACCGAGGGGAAAUAAAAAACCCCCAUGUGGAAUGGGAGCACUGACCCUCCCACAACUAAGAGGUGCACCUCUAAUGAGCAGAAUUUCUGACCAAUAAUGAUCCGGCAACGCCGAUCAACGGACCGAGUUACCCUAGGGAUAACAGCGCAAUCCCCUUUUAGAGCCCAUAUCGACAAGGGGGUUUACGACCUCGAUGUUGGAUCAGGACAUCC
rnacentral:rRNA from 1 species